AGACCAGGUGCCUCUCUUUGUUGUUCUCAUUAGGCUAAGCCAACUCUUAGGUACAACAACAGAGCUGGUGAGAUCAGGAAGUCUUUGGGAGAAGGCCAGGGAACCACCGCAUCUGAUUCUGGAACCAUUAGAUCUUAUCAUGCAGAAUACAAGGAGCGGGGAGAAGUACCUGCCUAUGAAAAAACAGCAACACUUUCAAAGAAAAGGCUGGAUGUCACCUCUCGAAAUGCAGUGCUCCAGAAACAGAAGCAGAUGGCUCCUUCUAGGUGAGCUACUAUGAAUUUGCUGUUCUUUCUCAGCAUUUCCUUAGUUUGAAUCUCC